rnacentral:rRNA from 1 species
UUGACCUCAAAUCGGGUGAGACUACCCGCUGAACUUAAGCAUAUCAAUAAGCGGAGGAAAAGAACU